rnacentral:rRNA from 1 species
UACAGGGGGGGCAAGCGUUGUUCGGAAUUACUGGGCGUAAAGGGUUCGUAGGUGGCCAACUAAGUCAUACGUGAAAUCCCUCAGCUUAACUGGGGAACUGCGUCUGAUACUGGUUGGCUUGAGUGCAGGAGAGGAACGCGGAAUUCCAGGUGUAGCGGUGAAAUGCGUAGAUAUCUGGAGGAACACCGGUGGCGAAGGCGGCGUUCUGGACUGCAACUGACACUGAGGAACGAAAGCCAGGGGAGCAAACGGG